rfam:Brachypodium distachyon strain Bd21 chromosome 1, whole genome shotgun sequence.
UAUCUACUCCCUUCGAUCCAUAUCAAUUGUCUCAAAUUUUCCCAAAUAUGGAUGUAUCUAUGCCUAAAAAGCGUUUAGAUACAUGUAAUAUUUUGACAAUUAAUAUGGAUCGGAGGGAGUAGAUC